UUGCGAAAUAACUGACAAUCAAGUUGGAACUUCCCACGGUAAAUCACUAUCUGAACAAAUACAAAAAUUAACCAAGUGCCAAACAGCAAUUCGGGAACUAAAAUAAUUACAUAUGCAUGUACAUUUACAUUAUUGCGUACAUAUGUAAUUGAACAAAACCGUUUUUGAGGCAAACACAAAUUAAUGAUUCUUAAAUAAUUAAGUGACGCAAAUACCUCAGAGCCUUUACAGUGAAUUUAUAAUCUGUAAUAUGAGCUGCAUACGACUGCGGUGAGUUCUGAAAUGUAAUUGUGUGUUGAAUGGCUUGAUGUGCCCAACUUUUGUGGUGUAAAAGUAAAAAUACGGGAUGUAUAAGUUCAGUUAGUGAAGAACUUUCGUUGAAACUACUCUACGGCUCCAAAAGAUAAAGUGUAUAACACAUUAUCAAAAAUUUACUGAAAAUCCGCAAAUCCAUUGUCCACAUUUAAAAAGUGAUAUCAAUUAUACAAAAAGAUUGACAUUUUAUCUGAACGUGUUGAAUAGUUUCACUAAACCUCGCAAAAACAAAUAAAGACAUACUAACGACAAUAAUUCCUGUAACAACUGGUACGGUUUUAACAUACCGGCAAAUAUUACUUAUAAAACUAUGACUAUAUGAGUAUAAAAUAUAAUGUAAUGCCAUUCUAGUUUUGGUAUACAAAGUAUAUAAGAUAUUCUCACCCUAAAUUGUAAUAUAUGAACACCAAAAAAAACAUGUAGAUUUACAUAUGUAAUUUGAUCGUACAAGUUUACAAAUUUUCUAUCAUUCGAAAAGUAAUAUCGGAAAUAAUAACAUUGCUCAACAGUCGAGAUAAAUUUAUAUAAACGCCGAAAGUAAUGGCGAUGGAAUGGAUUACCGCAAUGGACAAACGUCCUUGUGAUCGCAAUUUACGCGAUGCUGAACUGAUAUCCUGUCGUCUGCGACGCGUGGAGCCACUGUGUCGUCUGCCCAGUUCGGCACUGCAGCAAUUAGCCAUGUGCGGCUUCUAUGAGGAUUUAGAAAAGGGUGUGACAUUAUUUCGUGCUGGUGAACAGGGUCGUUUUUGGUACGCCGUUCUAGGUGGGUCGCUUGAAGUUCGUUACCAUGCUUCAGAGAACGAUGCCAAAGCACCAGUAAGUUUGUACAAUCUUAGUGUGGGCGCUACAUUCGGGGAGUCCAUAUUACAUGAACUACCACGAGAUAGCACUGUUGUCACGAAAACCACUUGCGAGUUGCUUCGUGUGGAACAACAAGAUUUUCGACUUAUUUGGGAAAAAAAUAAAGAAUUGAUGAAUGACAUUAUUACAACUUGCAAAUUGAAAAAUGGAUUCGGUUCCGGAGUUUCACCAAUUGCUUCGUCCCCAACUAAGCGUCCUUUAAGUCCAGAUCAUCCGAAUCCCGCUUUACCUAUUUCUGAGGUAAAGGCGUUUUUCAAUAUCACAUACAAUAUUUUUGAUACUACAUAUAUUUAACGCCGACGGGUACAUUUAAAAUGAACAUAUUCAGCUUUUCUCAUAUUGAUCGUACGUUCCUUUAUAACUGGUAUAUUAAUAAUUUCUUAUUUACCAUCACAACCAUGUUGCAAUUAUACAUCCAAUACAUCCGUCUUCGCCAGUCUCCGAGUUCUACUAUGAGUCGAAUGGGAUGGGCCUUGCGUACACUCCUUAUUGCUGAUGGUUCAAGUUGUCUCAAGGAUAGAAAAGUAGCUGGUAAAUUUAUUCGAAAAUGUGCACCAGGAACAGAAUUAGUGGAUUGGCUGUUGAAUUUAUCAUCUAUUGUUCAUACUCGGGCCCAAGCUGCUGGCAUGUGGCAAGCGUUGCUCGAAGAAGGGGUGUUAUCCCAUGUGAAUAAAGAGCAACCCUUUAAGGAUAAAUGUUUUUUGUACCGUUUUCGUGUUGACGAAGAUGGCAGUGCUGGCAGCUACUCGACAACCGAGGAUAUUAAUGCAGCUAAUGAAUAUGUUCGAGAGUCUCUGAGCACACUUUUCCAACGUGGACCAGAUGCAAUACUGCGAAUGAUUUUACGAAAGCCCUCACACGAAAGAACUCCCGAAGAACUUGAACUUAUUUUUGAGGAGCUUUUACACAUAACAGCCCUUUCGCAUUUGUCGACAAGUAUAAAACGCGAACUCUCCGCCAUUAUCGUUUUUGAAUCACAUGCACAGGCUGGAACAAUACUAUUUAAUCAAGGUGAUGAAGGUCGUUCUUGGUAUAUAUUGCUUAAGGGAUCUGUCGACGUUGUAAUACAUGGGAAAGGUACUGUAGCUACUCUUAAGAAUGGUGAUGAUUUUGGUAAACUCGCAUUAAUAAACGAUGCUCCCAGAGCUGCAACAAUCGUCUUAAAGGAGAAUAAUUGUCAUCUUUUACGAGUUGAUAAGGAGCAUUUCAAUCGUAUUCUACGCGAUGUGGAGGCCAACACGUUGAGACUUCAAGAACACGGCAAGGAUGUUUUAGUGUUGGAGCGAGUGGCUAAGCAACGUGGCCAGCAUUCGGCAUUUAAGUAUACGGUCAUGUCGGGAACACCAUCAAAGAUGUUAGAACAUUUACUGGAAACACGUCUCGGAAAUCAAGUGAGCGGUUUGGAUCCCUUUUUGGACGAUUUUUUGCUUACACACAUUGUUUUCAUGCCUGUUGUGCAGUUAGUGGAUGAGCUUGCCAAUUAUUUUCAUUGCGAUUCGAACAAUGGUUCGCAAACCCCAGAAGAUCGGGAAUAUAUAAUUAACUUCAAGAAGCGCGUUGUUCAGUUCAUGCAAAAAUGGGUGACGGCCGUGCGGCAUGCAGCAUUCGACGAACCAAGUGUCUGUGAUUUUAUUGAGGAUUUAGCAACUGAAAUAGAAGCCGAUCAAGAACUAAGUGAAGAAACUAGUAUUAUACAUAAUGUUCUUACACAAAUGACACGCUACCAAGAGGAUCGUAAUCAAAACACUGGACAGAAAUGGAAGCUACCACCAAAUGGACAACCUAUUUGUUUAUUUAGCGGAAAUGCUACACCUUCAAAAACUAUUAUUCGUCCCGAUGACGAUAUCAUAUUCCGAGUAUACUGCGCCGAUCACACAUAUUGCACUUUACGAUUUCCGCUGCAUACUACCGCCGGGAUAAUAAAAGCCUGCGCUGCCGAUAAGCUGCAGUUGAACCGAGGUCCUGAAGAUCUAGUACUAAUCGAAGUAAAAUCCAACGGAGAGCGUUCAGUCUACAAAGAUAAUGAUGUUAGUGUGCCCACUAGCCUCAGUCUAAAUGGUCGUCUUUUUGUCUCAGUGAAAGAUCACCUAGAUGCAUUGACACCACUCCCCGAACAAGAAGGACCUACUGAAGGCAUAGACAUUGAUUUGGAAAUAUUGAGCACCAAAGAAAUAGCGUACCAAAUGACACUUUUUGAUUGGGAUCUGUUUUGGGCAGUACAUGAGUAUGAACUACUGUAUCAAACAUUCGGGAGACAUCACUUUGGCAAAAUAACCGCCAAUCUAGAUGUAUUUCUCCGUCGCUUUAAUGAAUUGCAAUUCUGGAUCGCAACGGAAAUAGUAUCUACCAGCAGCAUGUGUAAACGUGUUGGAUUAUUAAGAAAAUUUAUCAAAUUGGCUGCCUACUGCAAGGAAUACCAGAAUCUGAACGCUUUCUUUGCCAUCACUAUGGGCCUUUCAAAUAUGGCCGUUUCGCGACUCACACAAACCUGGGAGAAAAUACCUUCGAAAUUUCGAAAGCUUUUCCAGGAAUUCGAAGCUCUCAUCGAUCCCAGUCGCAAUCAUCGUGCGUACCGUGUUUAUGUAGGCAAAUUGCAACCGCCAGUAAUACCAUUUAUGCCACUCUUACUGAAAGAUAUGACUUUUGCCCAUGAAGGUAAUAAAACUAGUUUAGAAGGUCUAGUUAAUUUCGAGAAAAUGCAUCUGAUGGCACAGACUAUGCGCACCAUUCGCUUCUGUCGCUCACGAAGUUUAGGACUGGAGCCACCAUCACCAAAGAGUGAAGGAGAAGUACGGUCAUACAUUAGUUGCCUCCGUGUUAUUGACAACCAGCGGGUUUUGACAGCUAUGUCGCAAAAAAUUGAACCAAUACGCAAAGUAUAAAGCAAAUAGUGUUUUCGACACAACGCUUACAUAUAUUAGCUGUAAACUUAAAUCGACAUUUAUUCAAGUAUUUUAUUCCAUAUGCUUUAACGUAGAAUACUAAUACAUUAACUUAUUACACUAACAAAUAUAUAGUCCAUAAUUAGGAAAUUCUAUAUAUGUACAUUUAGUAAGUACGUACAUAUGUAUGUGCUAAACUAAUGCGUAAAUUAGUCCCGUUGUUACAUAUUUAUAAUAUCCCUAUCAUACAAUUAGUAAAAAUACAUGUAUGUAGAUAAAAAGUAAGCUUACAAAUUUAUAUCUUAUUUACCCUUAUUUGUUAUUGUCUUGACACUAAUUUUAUUUUUACCACUUUUUAUAAAAAAAAAAUCCGCCAAGCAUUCAAAACAGGGGUGCUCAAGCCGUAGCCGACUUUGUUCAUUUGGCUAAAACCAACGUUAACAAACAAACUUUUUAUAUGAGCAUUUUAGCAUACAUUAAGUAAACGAAAUUAAAUGUUUUUUGGUUAUUAUUUAUCUAUGUAAGAUAUAUGUACGUAUAUGGGUAUCAUAUUCUUUACAAUCGGUAUAUUUCUUUUAUUAUAUAUAUUGUUCUUAAAAUCGAUCAGCAAAAAGGAGAUGGUAUAAUUAUAGAUUGAUAGAUAUCUAUUUCCCCAAUAACACAGUCAUAUAUAUAUGUUUAUCUGUGCCUACUGUCUAUGUGACAAAUCACAAACAUUAGCUGGAAAAUUGUUGGGAGUUUACCAUAUUUUAUUUUCGGUAAAUAUUCAUUUUGGUAGCGUUUUCGUUCAAUUAAAAGGAAAAACAUGAGUGGCAGGAAAAGAUAGACAAAAAACUGUACGAGUAUGAAUUUCUGUAGCUAUUACUAAUGCUGUGGGGACAAUAAACCCCGUAUAUUUUGGCUCUAAAUAUAAAAAUUGUUUAUGAAGAAACAGCGUAUUUUGAACUGAUUGAGCUGCAUCAAACACAAAUGCUACCACGAGUUUAAUCAUUAAACUAUUAAAUAUUUUCUUCUAAGUAUAAAACUAACAAUUUAUUCUAUGCGUAUUACAAUAACGCAAUUUAUGCAAUAUUAAUAUUCAUGUAAUAAGUAAAUAAUCAUAUAUACGUGUAUAUAUAUUAAAGACUUUUUAGCAUAUACUGUAGAGCGAUAUUUUCGUUUCUUACAAAUGCGCUAGUUCGUAAUUACAUAAACACCAAAAUCUUAUAAUCUAAAAUAUAUUUAUUGACCCUUAUACACAUAUGUAUGUACAUAAAAAUGUAUGUUAAUAUUAUAAUUUAAUUUAAAUAGUUACCACCAUCGAUCGAGAAUUAGUGGAAAUAUAUUUAUAGCUGUAAGAAAUUUUAUUCAAAGAUCAAAAACUUUAAUAAAUCUACGUGAGCCACUUUUCUUCGAUCUAUUAAAAUCAAAAUAUUAGGGAAUCACAAAAAGUCUUUAGAUUGAGCAAACCUUUUAUUCUAAAGAAAUAAUCGGUAACAUUUCUAGAGUUGUUAUUUAUGUUUAUAUUACACCAGUACUACGAGUCUUAAAUCUUAAACCUACAGACCACCCAGAAGAGCUAAAACACCCAAUGGUUUCUUAAAAAACGAAUUUUGUAUUUACAAAUAUGUGUAUUUAGAACCUUUCAGUUUACAUUGACAAUUCUAAAUGUAUAACACCAAACCGUAACACACACCAUAGGGACAAUGAAAAUUUAUAUACAAAAGCCUUUUAUUACUUUAUCUAUAACAAAUUUCAAUGUCGUCCAUUUACCACUUACCAUAAGUACUAUUAAUCAAGAAUAAAUGUAUAUAAAAUCAAAGAAUUAA